GAUGAAGAACGCAGCGAAAUGCGAUACUUGGUGUGAAUUGCAGAAUCCCGUGAACCAUCGAGUCUUUGAACGCAAGUUGCGCCUCAAGCCAUUAGGUUGAGGGCACGUCUGCCUGGGCGUCACAUAUCGUUGCCUGAUGCCAGUUUCCUCGUGAUGGGUGGCUGUGCAGGGCGAAUGAUGGCUUCCCGUGAGCAUUGUUGCCUCAUGGUUGGUUGAAAAUUGAGUCCUUGGUAGGGAGCGCCGAGAUAGAUGGUGGUUGAGUGACGAACGAGACCCAAUCAUGUGAGACCCCUACCGAAUUUGGCCUUCAUGACCCACAUGCGUCUUUGGAACGCUCAUGACGAGACCUCAGGUCAGGCGGGGCUACCCGCUGAGUUUAAGCAUAUCAAUAAGCGGAGGA
rnacentral:misc_RNA from 1 species